GGGAUCUGGGGGAGUGUCCCAGGGGCAGCAAGUCUGUAGGGGACGUCAAGGGGGCAGAGAGGCCAGAUUGGGGCACCCAGGGAGGCAGUGACCAGGGGGGUGGGCAGAGAGGCUAGGAGGGGCAUCUCAGGACAGAAAGCAGGGGCCGUGGGCAGACGUUCUCAAGGGGCAGCGUCUCACCCUUCCCGUCUGUUCCAGAUGCCUCCUGGAGAUGCCGGAUGGACCUGGGACAGGUGGGGGGACACAGGGUGUGGUCAGCACUGGCUCCGCCCAUGUGCGCAGAGGGCGGGGUCUCAGCCGAGGUUUGGGGGCGGCCGGGGUCCUCACCAGACCACAGGGAAGAGGAUGGCACCACAGCAGAUGAGGUCCACCAGGAACAGGAUCUCCUUCCAGAGCCCGUAGUCGCUGGCGCCCUCCUCACGGGACUCGAUGGCGAUACAGGACGUACUUAACGAAGGCCCAGCCUGAGCCGAUCAAAGCAAUGGUGAUGAAGAGGAGGGCGCCCUUCAGCCUGGGGGAGCGGAGGGACGGCAUGGCGAUGAAGUCAGGUGGGGCCCGGCCUCCUCUGCCCGCCUCCCGCCACCUGCCAGGCAGAGAGGGGCCACUCACAGGUGCGUGAUGUAGUGCAUGACCGCGAGACCCUCGAUGGGCUGGCCCUGGCUGUUGAUGAAGUAGUAGUUGAUCUGGGGGUGGACAGACGGAUGGACAGUCAGACAGAUGGACCUCCCACAAGCCCAGGGUCCGUAGACAUUUCGAGGGGUGGCCUGGUUGCUGUCUUCCUCCCAGCCCACCCCUCUGGCUCUGGCCCCAGGCUCUCACGCUGUGGAAGAGCAGAGAGAUGCUCUUGGUGAAGGCCAAGGCUGCCAUGAGCCAGUGGAUCUUGAAGACAUUGUACCUGGCGGGAGAGAAGGGGACACGGAGCAUCAGCUUGGGGCAGUGAUGGGGGCUCUGGCGAGGGGAGGUGGGGGACCCCCAGGGGCAAGGGCAUUACGUGUUCCUGCAGAGGACAGACACCCAGAAGAUGCCGGCAGCCAGGAAGCAGGCAGACAUGACCAUGUAGAGCUUGAAAAGGGGAAUCUCUGCGGCGGACAGGAAGCCCUCGGGGUUCUUCUCCCGGAUCAUCACCUGGUGUGGGGACAGAGCUUCCACUUCCUCCCACUGCCACUGGGGGACUGUCGGGAGCUAAACUUCUGGAGGAUGGUGGGCACUCCCUGGCACAGCUGCUCACCCUCCACUCACCGUGAUGUCAAAUGGAUGCUCCUUUCCAGGAACCGAGUUGUUGCAGUUGUGGAAGUUGAGGUUGUACUGGCCUUCCUCAGCCCUAGAGCCGAUCACCACGUGGAACUGGGUGAGGGGGAAAGGGGGG